rnacentral:misc_RNA from 1 species
AAGUCGUAACAAGGUUUCCGUAGGUGAACCUGCGGAAGGAUCAUUACCGAAAACAAAAACGGCCCCGCGACGCCGUCGCUCGUCUCGAUGAGUGGCGCUCGCGGGGACGGACCCCUGUGAACGCGUUUCCGUCUUUGGUGCCCACGCGCGCGCACGCGGCGGCCUCUUAUUAGAGGCCGCUUGCGCUGCCGCCACGCGUGGCCCAAUCUUUUUCAUUUACCCCAUCUCUUCUGAAUGCUGACUGAAGUAAGUCGAGGUCUUCCUCCGGGACGGCUUUCGGCGUGGUCACAGCACCUCCUCCGGGCGGGCUUGACGACAAUAACUCGUGACAACUUUUAACAACGGAUAUCUUGGUUCAC